rnacentral:rRNA from 1 species
AUGCAAGUCGAGCGGUCGUAGCAAUACGGCAGCGGCAGACGGGAGAGUAACACGUGGGAACGUACCCUUCGGUUCGGAAUAACCCAGGGAAACUUGGACUAAUACCGAAUACGUCCGUAAGGAGAAAGAUUUAUCGCCGAAGGAUCGGCCCGCGUCCGAUUAGCUAGUUGGUGGGGUAAUGGCCCACCAAGGUGACGAUCGGUAGCUGGUCUGAGAGGAUGAUCAGCCUCACUGGGACUGAGACACGGCCCAGACUCCUACGGGAGGCAGCAAUGGGGAAUAUUGGACAAUGGGCGCAAGCCUGAUCCAGCCAUGCCGCGUGGGUGAUGAAGGCCCUAGGGUUGUAAAGCCCUUUCGGCGGGGAAGAUAAUGACGGUACCCGCAGAAGAAGCCCCGGCUAACUUCGUGCCAGCAGCCGCGGUAAUACGAAGGGGGCUAGCGUUGCUCGGAAUCACUGGGCGUAAAGCGCACGUAGGCGGAUUGUUAAGUCAGGGGUGAAAUCCUGGAGCUCAACUCCAGAACUGCCUUUGAUACUGGCA